UGACACCGCCUUUGCAACAGUUUGAGAAUUGCUGAUUGUAAGGAACACCGGGCAGAAGGUCGACGAUAGUCGGGGUUUUCUUGCAGCAGUGAGGAUCCAGCGGAUCAUAUGCAGCUGGGAAUGGGGAAAAAACAGAACAAGUUCAGUACCUUUUGCCCUGGAAGAGAUGUUCAGAAAAAGGGUUUCCCACCCAGUGUGUGUAAACAUUGAUGAAGGGAACUCACUUGUACAAGAGAUGAACAGGAAGAAGAAUAAGAAGAAACCCGAGACGGAUAGCCUCAUCUCCUGUGAUAUCUUCACUUGGAUGAGCGAAAGCUAUUCUUCGGUUAGCUGCUCCUGGGCAAAUGUGAAUGCUAAUGGGUGUGUUUAUGAAUGAAUUCAAGAAAAGCCUUGAACUGUGUUCUUUGGCUUCCUGAGGAUUGUCCACCAACUGGUUGUUGCAUUCUCAUUUUAGAUUCACAAUUUAAACUGCAUUUUGUAUAUAUCCUUCCAUUUCUGCAUUGUUCACAUAUCUUGAAGCAAUGGUCAUGGUGAUUGAUAAUGGAACGACAACCAACGUGUCAGUCAGAGGAUAUUUGCCCGAUUGUAACAUCUCAACUGCUGUUUCUGGUUGAAAGAGGUAACACGUUAAUGUUGCGCAGUUGAAACCAAUGAUUUCAACUGACAACGAAACCGGCUCUGUUCUUGAGCGUUCUGGAUUUCGACACAAACCAAAAAUUUAUAAAUAAAAAGUUAGAUCUGAGAAAACGGAGUCUUAAUCUGGAUGCUGUGUUAGGUAAGAGAAAAGAGUCGAGUUGAAGUAAAACGUGGUGGGGACAGAUCAUGUCUCCAACGUCACUUCCUACUUUCCAAAGCUUCGCACGCCGAUUCAUCCCGUCAUCUUUACAUGAUCCAUCCAACCAUUACAUGCUACAAUUUGUGAGGAAAUGGUUCAUGAGCAUUGAUCCAAAAGCUCUUGCUUGUAGACCAAACAAACCAGAUUCCUGAACCAGGGAACCGGUUCUAAAAACCAAACCGGAUCAGCUCGGUUUCACUUCUAGAACAGAACAAUACACCAUUCGUUAGAACCAAUCUCAGAAUAAGUGCUUCACCAAAAUGUAUGAUAAAGUCUCCGUAUCGUUCAGACGCUUAGGAAGAAGUCGGAAAACAAAGGACAAAACUGGCAAGGAAUACAGUAGGGGGAGGAUUUGAGAUGACAAAUCUCUUUCG